rnacentral:rRNA from 1 species
GACUAACGCUGGCGGCGUGCUUAACACAUGCAAGUCGAGCGGUAAGGCCCUUUCGGGGGUACACGAGCGGCGAACGGGUGAGUAACACGUGGGUGACCUGCCCUCAGCCCUGGGAUAAGCCUGGGAAACCGGGUCUAAUACCGGAUAUGACUCCAUGACGCAUGUUGUGGGGGUGGAAAGCCUUGUGCGGCUGAGGAUGGGCCCGCGGCCUAUCAGCUUGUUGGUGGGGUGAUGGCCUACCAAGGCGACGACGGGUAGCCGGCCU